GCCCCGCAGCCCCCCACAGCCACCGUAGGAAGCUCCGUCACCGUCCUACGAAGUUGUGUCGCCGUCGUAGGAAGCUCCCUCGCAGUCGUUUGGAAGCUCUUUGGCCGUCGUCUCCUCUCUUUUCCCUCACUCGAUUCUCAUGCUUUGACUUCAACUUGUGCCUUCUUCGUGUAUUUGUUCCGUCAUUUGGGCGCUGAUUCCCUUUUGUUGGUUUUCUUGGCUUGUCAAAGUUCUAACCUUUCUCUGAUUUGGAUGGAUCUGGUGCCAGUUUCUUAGAAUUCGGUCUUCUGGGGUGUCGAGUAUACUUGAACGUCACUGAUUCUACCUCAAAGGCCUAAUUAAUUUGGAUUCAUUAGCACAUUAUAGUUCUCUUACUAGUUAUUUUCUGCAACCAUUAAAAUGUGCAUUGGCGGCCCCUAUGCCAAUGGCAAGUUGGUCCUGGUAAUUUUCCUGUUUGUGAGGCCCAAGCCAAAACUUUCUGUAGUGUCUCUACAUUUCCAUUAGUGUAUGAACUUAAUCAGAUUUGGAUUAACUACAGUGGACGCAACCAAUUGAGCAAAGAGAAAAAAAAGUGUAACCAUGAUUGAUGGAGAAAUUUCACCUUUAGUCUUGGAGGAACAAACCGAAGUGAUCAAGUGGCUUGGGCAGAUUAAGAAGGUCACAAUACUAAUUAUUAAGGUCAUAGUACAAAUUUUUGACGAUGUCAUGAGAUUUUCAACUUUCAAAACAAAGGUAAAGUUUACAAUGCAUCAAAGUCUACCAUUCUUUAUCACAAAAAAUUUAUUGUUUUUAUCUACAUAUAAACAAGUAAGAUUGGAAAUGACUUGCAAAUUAAAAUGUUUUGAAUGUAAACAAAUUUGACAGAAACAUAACGCUUGAAUUUAACUAAAAAAUUGAUAACAAAUUCAGGAAUGUAACUAGACUGAGCUUAAAUGUGCUGGAAAAAUAAGUUGUAUUAAAGUAAAGUGUAGAAUUUAAAAAAAUAAAAUAAAUAAAUAGUGAAAAAGAAAUGUCACCUCAUACACUACAAAUUCAUAGAAAAGAUUCUCGAACAUAUUGUAUAUAGCUUCGCAAAGGUCUUUUUUCUCCAUGCACCCAAACGUUUCUAAUAAACCUAGCUAAAACUAUAUUAGGCUUUGCAUAACUUUGAAACUAAAAACACUAGUCAGAGUUUGUAGGACGCCCUCUCUCUUUGACAAGGUCCUGUGUCUAACGGAUAUAAAUGCUUUCCUCUAAUGGUUAUAC